rnacentral:rRNA from 1 species
ACUCCUACGGGAGGCAGAAGUAGGGAAUCUUCGGCAAUGGGGGCAACCCUGACCGAGCAACGCCGCGUGAGUGAAGAAGGUUUUCGGAUCGUAAAACUCUGUUGUUAGAGAAGAACGUUAAGUAGAGUGGAAAAUUACUUAAGUGACGGUAUCUAACCAGAAAGGGACGGCUAACUACGUGCCAGCAGCCGCGGUAAU